CGGAUGCGCUAGUCUCGCAGCUGCAGAGAAAACAGAAACAGGAUGUCUGAACAAUCGUGAGGUCGUUUAAACGCGCUAACAAGUUCGAACGUUUAUAAGGAACGCGUGGAAUUCCAUAACUUUUCGAGUUUGCUGUAGUAACACGAAAUACCACUUAAUACUGUGUUCGCCAAUUCGGUAUUAUGAUUUCCGGCAUCUCUCGAAAUGUACUUAAAUACGAGCUUAUGUGUUGUGUGUAUAUUAUAUCUAUGAGUUGGUGGGAAGUAAUAAAUUGUUUCAAGCCGAGAAUUCGAAUGAAAUCAGGAAAGGUUUUACUCGUGCAGGUUCAUGAUUCGUAACGUAAACGAGAUGGAAAAAUGAAUUCGAGGAAGAGAAUGAAUACGUAGUUAAAAAAAAAAAAAAGAAAAAAAGAAAAAGAAGAAGAAAAGAAACAAAAAAAAAGCAGCCUCGAAGCGACAAUACAUAAGUACGCAUGUAUACGUGUAAAUCUCUUUGGAAGAUCUCAUCGUAAAUUCGUGUGACAUGUCUGAACAGUUUAUUCGGUCGAAACAUGUCAAGCAUGCAAGAGCCCAUUCCACCGAGAAUGUUAGAGGAACUGCGAGAGAUUCUUGCCGGGUCUUAUCACGCGAAGUAUAAUUUACACGACUUUCCCACGAAACUGAAGAAAGAACCAACUCAUAAACGCGAGCCUAACGAUUUGCGGUCAAGAGGGCAGACCUAUUUACAAAGGAUAAUUCGCCAACGAAUUAACCCUUUACCGUACGCAUUACUUUCUCGGAUUCUCCGAAUGCCUAUCUUUUUACGACGACGACGACGACGACGACGAUGAUUAUGACGAUGGCGAUGAGGACGCUCGUCGUACGCCGUUCUGACAUUUUCUUAUGUGAAUGCCUCACGUAAAAAUCUCUGGGUUAAGAGACGGAUCUUUAUGGAUCGAGAUUUCGAGAAUUUGACUUGCCUGUUUUUAUUAUUUCUUUUAUAUUUUUUUUCAUUUUAUAUUUUAUAUCAGGUUGGAUGAGAAUAAGGAUGGGUGGUUAACACAAAGACGUGAACGAUCGAAGGUCACCAUGAUUAUUAUCAUCGAUAAUACCUACCACCAGCGAAAAAGAACCUACCCUCUCCCCUCUAAGAGAGAGAGAGAGAGAGAGAGAGAGAGAGAGAGAGAUCUUGAUUACCUCUUCUUAAGUUUCUUUCAGGCUCUCUCUUUGACCCCCUUCCUUCUCUAUUAUUCCUUACCUCCCUUUAUUAUUGUCUACUAGUUCGUGUCCCUAUCGUGCUACAUAAAAAUUAUCUGAUGAGGGACUUUGGUUCUGAGCAUAAACGAUUUGUAAUAUCCAGGUAUUCGCUCGGCGCUUCGCAAUUAAUGGUUAUCAUGCGAGAUUGCCCGUUAAUUCUGCUCGCUGGAAGAUUCUCUCUCUUUCUGUCUCUCUCUCUCUCUCUCUCUCUCUCUAUCUAUCUUAGUAUUCUCUCUUCGGCUCUUAGAGAGACGAGAGAAAACUCGAAACCUCUUCUUCGGGUUAUCCCUCUUUCUCCUUUCAUCUUUACUCCUUCUCACUUGAUCUUCGUUUUCUUUGCGUCUCUGUAGAAGGAAGACUGGAAAACGGUAAUCUCGAUGCCCUGUGCUCAAACUCCUUUCGUCUUCUCGUACGAUAGACUCCAACGACGUGCUUUUUACAGUCGACUUAUUACCGCUUUUUAAAUGUUGAUAAGUUUUCUUGCGGCUAUGGGGAGAUAUCCUCCAUUGCCGUAACUAUCGGCAAUCUCUUCGCUUUUGCUACGCUUUAAUUGCCCGGAGUUAAAUCACUCCGGAGACCGGCGACAUAGUUGGGAUCGUCCGUCGCUCGAAUGAAAUCGAGGGGAACGAAACGAUUCGAUACGACGACAACGACAACGUUGACUUGUACGUUUUCUGCGAAAUUAUUUAUCUUCUUCUUCUUCUUCUUCUUCCCCUUCUCCUCUUUCCUCUCCUCCUUUUUCUCCUUCUCCUCACUGUUCUUCUAUCUUUUACUCGAGUGGGAUAGAAAGAGAUAG